AAGAACGGAAGAAAUCGAUUUUCGUCACAAAUUCUGUCAAAGUUCAGUUGAGAACACCAUUUUCAGUCGAAGAAUCAAAGAGCAAUGUGACUCCUCUAAGGCGAACUGAAGAAGAAGAUCCUCCUCUCCGAGCUUCGUUGUUCAAGAUUGGAGAGCUGAAGAAGACGAUUUUCUUCAAAAAUUCUUGGGUAAAGUGUUGUUCCAUCAGAUUUUCUUUUGAAAGUUGAAAGAAAAUGCUUCACAAAUCAACUUGCUUCAUAUCUUAAAGCUUUAGGGUUGUUGGAAUAGAGUUUAUCAGAAGCUGAAGCUAAGUCAAAAGUAUCUGAAGAACUGAGUUGUAGCUAAGUUAUCUUUCUUCGAAGAACUGAAGUGUUGAAGCUGGUGAUACCUAUAAUAUUUUGUCCCUAAUAUAGAUUUCGUCAAGUGUAAGUAGCUACUCUACAUGAAUUUGAAAAAGUUUUAAUGUAUGUUUUAAUGUUACUGUUUUUUUAGUCUUUUUUAGUCUUCCUGAGUUCAUGAUUGUGCUCGUCUUAAGCUUGGUUUGUUCCUUUGUUAACAACAUUGAUUCUGUCUUGUAGCUAUUUGCUGGUAAAAUUUUUCUUUUUUCGA